GGCCAGUCUUCAGCACUUUUGUAUAUGAGGAAACUGGGAAUGAGUUGGAGCUGGAAGAUAUUCAUGGCUUUGCUAGAGAAGGAGAAUUAGAAAAUUUGCUGAAGUGUUUAGAAAGUGGUGUUUCAGUGAAUAUCAAGGAUAGUGAAGGCAGGACCCCAUUGCAUUGGGCAGUGGAUCGUGGUCAUUCUAAUGUUGUGGAGCUGCUUGUUUCCAGGAAUGCUGAUAUCAAUGUGAAGGACGUUGAUGGGCAAACCCCAUUGCAUUAUGCUGUUGUAUGCGACCGAGAAGCAAUUGCCGAAUAUCUUGUGAAGAACAAUGCCAACAUCAGCGAAAAAGACAAUGAUGGAAAGUCACCUUGUGAUCUUUGCGAGUCUAACUGGCCUUUCAUCGUUUCUGCAGAGAAGUAGAAAUUGGCAGAUGGUUUACCAUGUUUGGUGUGUCUUUUCCCUUCUAUCUUCUAAUUGAUUAUUUCACACGUUCCUUUUGAAUGUAAAUACUC
rnacentral:misc_RNA from 1 species